AUCUCUUAGUAAUGGCGAAUGAAAGGAGAUGUGCUUAGUGUCAAAAUCAGAUUACUCUGACUUGUAGGCUGUAGGGGCUUUGCCAACUUGGGUGCAGGUGCAAGUCUCUUGGAAAGGAGCACCAGUGAGGGUCAAGGUCCCGUCUGGCAUCUGUCAUCCCUCGUAGACGGUUUGCCCAUUGAGAGUCGUGUUCUUCUGGAGUAGAGCGCUAAUUGGGUGGUACUCUUUGCCCAAGGAGGAUUACGUGCUUGAGACCAAUAGUGAACAAGUACCAUGAGGGAAGGGUGAAAAGGACUUUGGAAAGAGGGUUAAGAGGGCAUGAAGCUGCUGGAAGGGAAGUGGAUUGGACUUUUACAUCGCAGUAAGAUUGCAGGCUGUGAUUUCCACUUGUGGGACAUCGCGUGCUGUGUCUCUUGCUGCUCGGUUGGGUUUUGCGUUGUGCCCGAAAUCUCAGCUUUGACUGGAAGAAGGUUUGCGAACUGGACCAUGUCAUUGCCAUCUUUUGGCGCAGCAUGCAACCUUGACCAAAAGGUUCAAUUUUACCCGUCUUGAAACACGGACCAAGGAGUCUAUUGCGUGUGCAAGUGUAAGGGCUUCACACCUGACAGCUCAACAAAGGUGACUGCUGGGACCUCUGCACCAGCAACCAACUGAUCGCUUAGGAGAUGUUUGUGUAUGAGCACACUUGCUAGGACCCGAAAGGUGGUGAACUAUGCCUGAGAAGGGUGACGUCAGGGGAAACUCUGAUGGAAGCUCGUAGCGCUACUGACGUGCAAAUCGUUCGUCUGACUU
rnacentral:rRNA from 1 species